rnacentral:tRNA from 1 species
GGGCUGGGGCUCAGUGGUAGAGCGCUUGCCUAGCAUGCGUGAGGCCCUGGGUUCAAUCCUCAGCACCACA